UAAGGGAGUAUGGAACAAGCAUCCCUAUAAAAUAAAGGGAUCGCUGGGCCGCCGUUGCGGCAACGGGAUAUUAAGCCCGUGGGACCUUA
rnacentral:ncRNA from 1 species